rnacentral:rRNA from 1 species
GAGUUUGAUCGUGGCUCAGAUUGAACGCUGGCGGCAGGCCUAACACAUGCAAGUCGAGCGGCAGCGCGGGGCAACCUGGCGGCGAGCGGCGGACGGGUGAGUAACGCGUAGGAAUCUACCCAGUAGCGGGGGAUAGCCCGGGGAAACUCGGAUUAAUACCGCAUACGCCCUAAGGGGGAAAGCAGGGGAUCUUCGGACCUUGCACUAUUGGCAGAGCCUGCGUUGGAUUAGCUAGUUGGUAGGGUAAAGGCCUACCAAGGCAACGAUCCAUAACUGGUCUGAGAGGAUGAUCAGUCACACCGGAACUGAGACACGGUCCGGACUCCUACGGGAGGCAGCAGUGGGGAAUAUUGGACAAUGGGGGCAACCCUGAUCCAGCCAUGCCGCGUGUGUGAAGAAGGCC